UACGUAGGGUGCAAGCGUUAAUCGGAAUUACUGGGCGUAAAGCGUGCGCAGGCGGCUUUGCAAGACAGAUGUGAAAUCCCCGGGCUUAACCUGGGAACUGCAUUUGUGACUGCAGGGCUGGAGUGCGGCAGAGGGGGAUGGAAUUCCGCGUGUAGCAGUGAAAUGCGUAGAUAUGCGGAGGAACACCGGUGGCGAAGGCGGCGACCUGGGACAAUACUGACACUGAGGUGCGAAAGCGUGGGGAGCAAACAGG
rnacentral:rRNA from 1 species